ensembl:ncRNA K11G9.10 ncRNA
UGUAACAAUAUUAUAAGCUAGAACAUGUCACCCAUAUAUCUCGGUGCCAAUUUUGUCAUCUAUUAUUCAUUGUUUGUCUCCCCGGGUACGCAUGUAUGUGUGUCAGCAGGUCCCUCUCUACCCAAAAGCUCUUCAAUGCACAAACACACCUCUAUUCCAGAGGAUUUUUGAUUGACACUUCAUUUCGGUGCUCUCGGUGCUCUCAAAUGCAUUU